GGGAUUGCCUCAGUAACGGCGAGUGAAGCGGCAACAGCUCAAAUUUUAAAGCUGGCGUCUUCGACGCCCGCGUUGUAAUUUGGAGAGGCAUCUUCGGUUUGGGCGCCAGCCUAUGUUCCUUGGAACAGGACGUCACAGAGGGUGAGAAUCCCGUGCUUGGCUGGCUGUCCCUUUCCAUGUGAAGUGUCUUCGACGAGUCGAGUUGUUUGGGAAUGCAGCUCAAAAUGGGUGGUAAAUUCCAUCUAAAGCUAAAUAUUGGCGGGAGACCGAUAGCGCACAAGUAGAGUGAUCGAAAGAUGAAAAGCACUUUGAAAAUAGAGUUAAAAAGUACGUGAAAUUGUUGAAAGGGAAGCGCUUGAGACCAGACUCGGCCGGAGAUGAUCAGCCGUCCUUCUGGGCGGUGCACUUGUCUCCGGUCGGGCCAGCAUCGGUUGAGACGGCGGGAUAAAGGCCCGGGGAAUGUGGCUCCUUUCGGGGAGUGUUAUAGCCUCGGGCGCAAUGCCGCCAGCCUCGACCGAGGACCGCGCUUUUUGCUAGGAUGCUGGCGUAAUGGUCUUCAGCGACCCGUCUUGAAACACGGACCAAGGAGUCUAACAUCUAUGCGAGUGUUUGGGUGUCAAACCCUUGCGCGUAAUGAAAGUGAACGGAGGUGGGAACCCCUCACGGGGCGCACCAUCGACCGGUCCUGAUGUCUUCGGAUGGAUCUGAGUAGGAGCAUAGCUGUUGGGACCCGAAAGAUGGUGAACUAUGCCUGAAUAGGGUGAAGCCAGAGGAAACUCUGGUGGAGGCUCGCAGCGGUUCUGACGUGCAAAUCGAUCGUCAAAUUUGGGUAUAGGGGCGAAAGACUAAUCGAACCAUCUAGUAGCUGG
rnacentral:rRNA from 1 species